CCUACGGGAGGCAGCAGUGAGGAAUAUUGGUCAAUGGACGAGAGUCUGAACCAGCCAAGUAGCGUGAAGGAUGACUGCCCUAUGGGUUGUAAACUUCUUUUAUAAAGGAAUAAAACGAGGCACGUGUGCCUUUUUGCAUGUCCUUUAUGCAUAAGUAUCGGCUUACUCCGUGCCAGCAGCCGCGGUAAUACGGAGGAUCCGAGCGUUAUCCGGAUUUAUUGGGUUUAAAGGGAGCGUAGAUGGGUUGUUAAGUCAGUUGUGAAAGUUUGUGGCUCAACCGUAAAAUUGCAAUUGAUACUGGCAGGCUGGAGUACAGUUGAGGUAGGCGGAAUUCGGGGUGUAGCGGUGAAAUGCUUAGAUAUCACGAAGAACCCCGAUUGCGAAGGCAGCUUACUAAACUGUGACUGA
rnacentral:rRNA from 1 species